GGACUGGCCGCCAGGUGGGCGCAGGCAGGGGGUAAAAGCCCGCCCUGGGCGGUCCUGAUGGCCUAGUGGUUGAGGUUCCACGCUCUCCGCUUUGGUGGUCAGCGUUCAUUGCCGGUCGCAGAACCACACCACCUGUCUGUCAGUUGCCAUGCUGUGGCAGAGGCCAACGUGCAAGAACUAGAAGACUGGCAACUAAGAUCCACCUCCACCUGGGUAUAAAUCUGGUUUGGGCAGAUUUCCUCCUCCGUUCUCCCCUGAAGCUGCUACCUAGUGCGGAUGACACCACCAGCUGUGCACCACAAGUGACAUCUAACUUGGGACACAGCUCUAGCAACAUUUCCACCAUGGGCAGAGAAGGCCACUGCUGCCCCUCAGCCUGCAGCCUAAGGCCACCAAUCCUGGGAGAUGGCUCCACCACCUCUGGGUUCAAAUGCUGACAAGGGGCCUUGAAGCCACAAAUGAUGAACGACACCACAAACGUUCUCACCGUGAGGUUAAGAAGACAGUCCCUCCUGGACGGAACCGACAGGACAGUAUCCAGGACUUUAAAGGGAAGACUUGACAAGUGCUGCUCCAGCUGCCCUCACGGAUGUUACUCUCAAAAGGAUGAGAACCGGAAGUCGGGCUUCUAGGCUUGUCCAGCCCUCUGCCACACCCAGCUCGCACGUCGGCCUGAUGCACUGGGACACAAACAAUUCCAGGAGGGAAGCCUGCAACACCAACACUUCAGAAUUUGCUCAUUCAUCUUACCUGCCAGUUCUCCAUUUGCUAAUUCAUUUCCUCCUGCACUACUGCCCUGAGACUCAGAUUCCUAAUAUAGUGGAUUCAUCUGUCGAUGCAUUAGUGACAGUCUAGGACAGCAACAGGAUAGUACUAGAAAGAGCCUUCUAAGUUGAAUUAAGCAGAUUUUCCAAGUGUGCUCAUGCGGAUGAGCUUACAUCAAUAUUAUCAUCCUGGUGAGUCACAGCUCCUUCCAGACCCUUCUGAGACUUCUCCAACCACGUGAUUUCUCCACUUAGCUCCACAUACUCAGUGUGCACCUUACUGCAGUUUUCAAUUUCCUGCUGGAACUGAAAAGUCAAAAGCUGCGUUCUUUUUGUCUCGGUCUUGCUCCUGAGACAUUGAGCCUCCUCUGCCCCGUCUCCCUGAACGCUCAAGAAGGAGCAGAGCAGUGGGCUGAGCCCG
rnacentral:lncRNA from 1 species